UACGGGGGGGGCAAGCGUUGUUCGGAUUUACUGGGCGUAAAGGGCGCGUAGGCGGCAUGACAAGUCACUUGUGAAAUCUCUGGGCUUAACUCAGAACGGCCAAGUGAUACUGUCGCGCUAGAGUGCAGAAAGGGCAAUCGGAAUUCUUGGUGUAGCGGUGAAAUGCGUAGAUAUCAAGAGGAACACCUGAGGCGAAGGCGGGUUGCUAGGCUGACACUGACGCUGAGGCGCGAAAGCCAGGGGAGCAAACGGG
rnacentral:rRNA from 1 species